AUUAAUCAUUUUCUUUCCCUUCCAUAUAAGUCCAGGAACUGACACCUGGACCUCAUGUUCCACCUUCCACUCAGGAAGUAAAGCCAGGACUAAGUUCCCUGCUGCUACAGACGGGGCAGUGCAAGAUCAGAUAAAACUAAUCAGUAACUAACCAUGGCUGUGAAGAGAAAGAGAAAAUAAUUUCCAGGUAAAAUCCAGAUACAGGUGACAACCUUAGUAAAAAAUUAUUUCGAACUAACCUCUUCUAAGGAAUUUGGGACCAAAUAACAGCUCUGACUAGAGAAUAAAAUGAUCUGGAAGGAGACACAGCAAGUUCAAGAAAAUACCUACCUUGAGAAACAAGCCGAAAAAAAAUCACUGGGAACCACCAGGGGCUGUUUGGUUGGGUGCAUACCUACCUGAGCCUUGAGAAUACAUCUGGUCCUUAGCAAACCUCAUCUGGACAGA